rnacentral:lncRNA from 1 species
ACUCAUGGCUGCACACACUGCAGUUUGGUCUCUGCAAUGUCACAGGUGUAGUCUUCAGACUUGCUUUUAUGUAGCAAACCUAAUAUGUGAAAGUAACUAGAAAGCUGUUUUCUCCCUUCUGCUUAAAGAGAUGAUCUUAGUACACUAUGAAGCAAUCACUUUUUAAACAAUCCAACACAGAAAUAGUCCGUUACACAUUUUAAUUAGACAUAACUUCUCUUUGAAAGAACACACAGAUCAUUUGGUGAAGUUUUUCCGUUGAAACACCCCAUAAUUGGUGCAAGGUUUGCAGAACAAUUUUGUCCUUAUGAAAUCAACACCUGCCAGUUCACACAUACACACACAUAUGCACGCAUAUGAAAUAUAUAUGCAAAUUAUAUAUCCUUAUGGAUGAAUAAAAGGAAGCUAGGCUGACAGCACACUGGACAUUAGAAACAGGAUGAGGAUUAACAAUUUGCCUCGAAAAUCAUUCACCUACAAAGCAGCUGACUGUGUUUUCUUCAUUUAAAGACAAACGUGGAGUGGUUCACACAGGGACACCCAGCAGACCGGAUUGCCGCAGGAAUGGAGCCUGCACCGCUCUUUAGGCAAGGGUCUUGAUGCAUCAGGAAGUACAAACAACAACAGGAAGAGUUUUGUCCAGAUUUACCGAAAAAAUGACUUUUUAGGGGCCGGGUGCCGUGGCCCACACCUGUAAUCCCAGUGCUGUGGGAGGCCGAGGUGGGGGCGGUGGAUCACCUGAGGUCAGCAGUUCGA